AUUGCAGAAUUCAGUGAAUCAUCGAAUCUUUGAACGCACCUUGCGCUCCUUGGUAUUCCGAGGAGCAUGCCUGUUUGAGUGUCAUUAAAUUCUCAAUCCUUUCUGGGUUUAUUCUCAGCUAGGCUUGGAUAUGGGGGUUUUGCUGGCUUUGUACAGACAAAGUCAGCUCUCCUGAAAAACAUUAGCAAGACUGUUGUUGCAACCUUCUAUCUGGUGUGAUAAUUAUCUACAUCAUAGAUUGUAUGCAGUUUAUUAUGUCUGGCUUCUAACAGUCCAUUGAAUUGGACAAAACCUAUGACAAUUUGACCUCAAAUCAGGUAGGACUACCCGCUGAACUUAAGCAUAUCAAUAAGCGGAGGAAAAGAAACUAACAAGGAUUCCCCUAGUAACUGCGAGUGAAGCGGGAAAAGCUCAAAUUUAAAAUCUGGCAGUCUC
rnacentral:rRNA from 1 species